AGAUAAAUCGGCGAUAAAGACGUCCGAUGAAGAGUGGUUCUUUUUCUGUCCUAAAGAUCGCAAGUAUCAAAAUGGGCAGCGAUUGAACAGAGCGACUCUGGCUGGGUACUGGAAGGCCACGGUAUUUUGAUGGAUAUGGAUAUCAUGGAACAUCAUUUGAGCAAACAUAUCGAUGUUACCCUGCAUCUUUUAUUGAUAAGCCACAGAUUGAAAAUGGUGAUAAAAGUAAGUUAUCAAACUCUAAACACUUGUGUGUGCAUGUAUUAGCCUUCUAAAUGUCUUAAUUUUUCAUUUUAUUUUUAUUUAUUUAUUUAUCUUUUCACUAUGUUGUUGCAGUUAUAAUGCCUUCCUCAGCCCAUGACCGUCUUGGUUAGUUGAUUUAUUUGAAAUUUGUUAUGGUGGCUUAUUAUCUUUUGUGGUUAAUUCAAAAAUUUUUCCUAUUAUCAUCUAAAAUGCUAAUAUAAGACUCUAUUCUGCAACAUCUCUUCAUAUUGAUUAUCCUAUGUUGUUUGAACUUCGCAAUGCUGCUACUGAGCGCAUUUCUCAUUGUGGCGUUCUUGAGUUCAUUGCAGAAGAAGGCAUGAUAUAUAUGCCGUACUGGAUGAUGGAGAAUUUGCUCUUACAAGAAGGAGACAUUGUGUGAGUGAAAAAUAUGACUCUCCCAAAAGGGACAUAUGUUAACCUG